rnacentral:rRNA from 1 species
AAAUUGAAGAGUUUGAUCAUGGCUCAGAUUGAACGCUGGCGGCAGGCCUAACACAUGCAAGUCGAGCGGUAGCACAGAGAGCUUGCUCUCGGGUGACGAGCGGCGGACGGGUGAGUAAUGUCUGGGAAACUGCCUGAUGGAGGGGGGUAACUACUGGAAACGGUAGCUAAUACCGCAUAACGUCGCAAGACCAAAGUGGGGGACCUUCGGGCCUCAUGCCAUCAGAUGUGCCCAGAUGGGAUUAGCUAGUAGGUGGGGUAACGGCUCACCUAGGCGACGAUCCCUAGCUGGUCUGAGAGGAUGACCAGCCACACUGGAACUGAGACACGGUCCAGACUCCUACGGGAGGCAGCAGUGGGGAAUAUUGCACAAUGGGCGCAAGCCUGAUGCAGCCAUGCCGCGUGUGUGAAGAAGGCCUUCGGGUUGUAAAGCACUUUCAGCGGGGAGGAAGGCGUU